GACGAACGCUGGCGGCGUGCUUAACACAUGCAAGUCGAACGGAAAGGCCCUGCUUUUGUGGGGUGCUCGAGUGGCGAACGGGUGAGUAACACGUGAGUAACCUGCCCUUGACUUUGGGAUAACUUCAGGAAACUGGGGCUAAUACCGGAUAGGAGCUCCUGCUGCAUGGUGGGGGUUGGAAAGUUUCGGCGGUUGGGGAUGGACUCGCGGCUUAUCAGCUUGUUGGUGGGGUAGUGGCUUACCAAGGCUUUGACGGGUAGCCGGCCUGAGAGGGUGACCGGCCACAUUGGGACUGAGAUACGGACCAGACUCCUACGGGAGGCAGCAGUGGGGAAUAUUGCACAAUGGGCGGAAGCCUGAUGCAGAAACGCCGGGUGCGGGAUGACGGCCUUCGGGUUGUAAACCGCUUUCGCCUGUGACGAAGCGUGAGUGACGGUAAUGGGUAAAGAAGCAACGGCUAACUACGUG
rnacentral:rRNA from 1 species